AUGGGGAGCAGCCGGCCGCGCACCAAGGACUUCUUUGCAGCCCCGACGCUCUCCCUCUCGCUUGCAGGUGCGUUCGCCAGGAAUGCGCCGAGCGGAGACGAAGUGGAAGAAGGCGAGGAGGGGAGUGGCGGGGUAAGAAGCGGGCCACCAGGUGAGGAGGUGGAGAUAAGCAGCGAGAACACGGGGCCGGCCGGCAGCCAGUCCGGCGACGGCUCCGCGGAGGAAGAAGAAGGCCAUGGCGAUGGGGGUAAACGGAAGAAGAGGAGCAGGAAGAGCUACCACAGGCACACCUCUGAACAAGUCAGGGUUAUGGAAGCGGUAUUCAAAGAGUCGCCACAUCCAGACGAAAAGCAGCGGCAGCAGCUCAGCAAGCAGCUAGGACUGUCUCCACGGCAAGUCAAGUUCUGGUUUCAGAACCGACGAACUCAGAUCAAGGCGACUCAGGAGCGGCACGAGAACUCGCUGCUCAAGUCCGAGCUGGAGAAUCUCCAGAAGGAGAACCGCGCCAUGAGACAGCUUGCCAAGGGGCCCUCACGCUGCCCAAGCUGUGGCGCCGCAGCAGCCUCGACCGAUGGCUUCAACGCCGCCGCGGCCAACCAAGAACAGCUGCUGCAGCUAGAGAACGCCAAGCUGAGAGCCGAGGUAGAGAAGCUGCGGGGUGCGCUAGGGACGGCCGCGGCCGACAGAGCCGCCUCCCCUGCCUCGCCGCCGUUCUCCGCGGCCACCACCCAGAUGAGCGGCAACCGGAGCCCGUUCGGAGUUUACGGCGCCGGCUUCGUGGGCCGCGACAGGCAGAGCAUCCUGGAGCUGGCCGGCAGCGCGCUGGAAGAGCUGAAGACGAUGUCUUCCUCCGGUGGGCCUCUCUGGGUGCGGAGCGUCGAGACCGGCCGAGACAUUCUCAACUACGACGAGUACGUGCGCCUGUUCCGGCGCGACGAUGGCCCGGGAGAUCGGCGGACCGGCUGGUCCGUUGAGGCGUCACGUGAAACCGGGGUGGUUUACCUUGACGCGACGAAGCUUGUGCAUGCUUUCAUGGAUGUGAACCAAUGGAAAGAGCUCUUCUCUUCCAUGAUCUCAAAGGCAUCGACACUGGACGUGAUCCGCACCGGCGACGACGACGAUGGACACGACGGCGUGGUGCAACUGAUGUUUGCAGAGGUCCAGAUGCUGACGCCAAUGGUACCCACAAGAGAGUUCUACUUCGCCCGCUACUGCAAGAAGCUGGCCGCGGAGAAAUGGGCCGUCGUCGACGUGUCGUUCGACAAGGCUGAAGCCGACGUCGGCACGUCGCCGCUGGUCACGUGCUGGAAGAAUCCCUCGGGUUGCAUCGUCGAAGAGCAGGCAAACGGCCAUUCCAGGGUGACUUGGGUGGAGCACACCAGAUGCCGCGAGUGCGCGGUCCCGUCCAUGUACAGGGCGGUGACCGCGAGCGGCCUGGCGUUCGGCGCGAGGCGCUGGGUGGCCCAGCUCCAGCUCCAGUGCGAGAGGAUGGUCUUCUGGGUGGCGACCAACGUGCCGACGAGGGACAGCAAUGGGGUCUCCACACUGGCAGGGAGGAGGAGCGUCCUGAAGCUGGCGCACCGGAUGACCUUGAGCCUCAGCCGCGUCAUCGGCGGGUCGCGUUGCCUGGCGUGGAGCAGGGCGCCGAGAGCAGGCGCCGGCGACGUCCGGCUGACCUCCCGGACGAACGCCGGCGACCCCGGCGAGCCGCAGGGGCUGAUCGCCUGCGCCGUGCUGUCCACGUGGCUCCCCGUCAGCCCGACGUCCCUCCUGGAGUUCCUGAGGGACGAAUCACGCCGGCCCGAGUGGGAUGUCACGCUGGCCGGACGAGCUGUUCAGUGUCGCAUGAACCUGACGAAGGGGAAGGAUCGUUGCAACUGCGUCACCGCCUACGCUCCCACGUCGGCCGACGGCGAGUGGAUCGUGCAGGACAGCUGCACCAACCCGUGCGAGUCGAUCGUCGCGUACGCGCCGGUCGACGCCGCCGUCCUGCAGCCGGUCAUCAGCGGGCACGACUCGAGCGGCGUGGCCCUCCUGCCGUGCGGCUUCGCGGUGGUGCCGGACGGGCUGGAGUCCAGGCCCGCGGUGAUCACGUCCAGGAGGGAAGGCGGGGCGGCGGCCGGGUCGCUGGUCACCGUCGCGUUCCAGGUGCUGGCCAGCUCGUCGCCGGCGGCCGCGCUCUCGCCGGAGUCGGCGGAGACCGUGACGAGCCUGGCGUCCUGCACGCUGCGUCGCGUAAAAAAGGCCUUGGGGUGCGAAGACCGCUGA
rnacentral:rRNA from 1 species